UUCGGGUUUAGUGGCGCACGGGUGCGUAACGCGUGGGAAUCUGCCCCUUGGUUCGGAAUAACAGUCGGAAACGACUGCUAAUACCGGAUGAUGACGUAAGUCCAAAGAUUUAUCGCCGAGGGAUGAGCCCGCGUAGGAUUAGGUAGUUGGUGUGGUAAAGGCGCACCAAGCCGACGAUCCUUAGCUGGUCUGAGAGGAUGAUCAGCCACACUUGGACUGAGACACGGCCCAGACUCCUACGGGAGGCAGCAGUGGGGAAUAUUGGACAAUGGGCGAAAGCCUGAUCCAGCAAUGCCGCGUGAGUGAUGAAGGCCUUAGGGUUGUAAAGCUCUUUUACCCGGGAUGAUAAUGACAGUACCGGGAGAAUAAGCUCCGGCUAACUCCGUGCCAGCAGCCGCGGUAAUACGGAGGGAGCUAGCGUUAUUCGGAAUUACUGGGCGUAAAGCGCACGUAGGCGGCUUUGUAAGUAAGAGGUGAAAGCCCAGAGCUCAACUCUGGAAUUGCCUUUUAGACUGCAUCGCUUGAAUCAUGGAGAGGUCAGUGGAAUUCCGAGUGUAGAGGUGAAAUUCGUAGAUAUUCGGAAGAACACCAGUGGCGAAGGCGGCUGACUGGACAUGUAUUGACGCUGAG
rnacentral:rRNA from 1 species